UUUCUCAAGCACCGCUAUAGUGGCAUAGCGAUUUUUGAUAAGCUUAUUAAAAGAAUCUUUAAAGUCCUUCAUUUCUAACAAUUAAAUCGUUAUUAUGAUUAAUUAUUAUUAUAAAGCUUCGCCACCUUUCACUCGUAGCAUAUGUGAUUUCAGCGACAGGUACGGACAAAAUAUGAACUACAAGCGCAGUAGGGAAACAUUGUCCCCACUAUGCGCCUAUUGCAUCGGUAUAUAAGCUUGUAAGGUUAUAUCCCUAUCACGCUUAAUUUAACAAUUGGGUUAGUUAGUGACAAAAAUUUUUGUAUGCAGUAUAAAUAAUAAUAUAUCUGAUAAAAAGGAAAAAUAAAUAUUUGUCAAAUUAUACUUUUUUGAAGAUAGAUUAAUUGUACAAAUUUUAUAGUCUUUGUUUCUAGUUAAAUUUAUAUAGAUAGUUAAAAUGUAUUUAAGUAGCCAUUGACUUGAUAUCAUUUGUGAUGAAAUGUAAAGCAUAUAAAAUAUAAUAUACAUUAUACCAAAAGUAAUAUCGAAUAUCCAUGUCUCAUCAAAUGGAGAGUAAUGCAUAUGAAAAUCCACGGGCUAACGGAGUUUUGAACAAUAAAAAGAACUCCACAGUAAGACUAUUAAUCACGUCCGCGAAUAUCCACGCCUGUGUACGCUGACGCGCACGCAAGUGUUCCUCUUAUUCUAUCCAUACGGAAAAAAAAGAGACGUUCUUUCUCUGUAUAUGGCAAGGAAAGAUCCCAUAAUCUCCCGUAUAAAAAUUUAAUCCCACGAUGAUAAAUCGAAUCUCUCGACGAUAUGUCAGACCCUCGCCGAUGUAUCGAAUCUUCUCGUCGACUAAUCGCCACACCGCAGAUGAUCUAUCCCUCGAUGAUCAAGCCUAGAAAAGAAGAAGAGAAAGUCGAUAUCUCGAUGACCUAGCCUGGAAAAAAAAAGAAUAGGAA